GAGCCACGCAUAAUGGGCCUAUUGACUCAGCCAGCGUGCUCUUCCCUCCUGGGCUGCACAGACUCAGGCGUUGGGCCUGGGCCCCAGGAACUGUUGGGGAAGUUGGGGGUCUCUAAAUGGGCUUUGUUCACUCACCAGAAGCGAAAUCUCCAAAAGGGCGUGACAUUGCCGUGGAGGCUGGCAACCUGCGUGGGGCGAGCGGAAGAUCUCGCCUGCAGUGCCAGUUUGUCUGGGAGCUUCCAAAGAGGAAGAAAUAGUGCUCUUACCCUUUGGCUCCUGCUGCUAAAGUGAUAAGACAUCAG
rnacentral:lncRNA from 1 species